rnacentral:snoRNA from 1 species
GGUGCACAUGAUGGCACUGUUAAGCGACCAAAGUCUGACAAAUGAUUGCUACCUUGUUGUCUGAUGCACU